rnacentral:rRNA from 1 species
AUUGAACGCUGGCGGCAUGCCUUACACAUGCCAGUCGAACGGCAGCACGGGUGCUUGCACCUGGUGGCGAGUGGCGAACGGGUGAGUAAUACAUCGGAACAUGUCCUGUAGUGGGGGAUAGCCCGGCGAAAGCCGGAUUAAUACCGCAUACGAUCUACGGAUGAAAGCGGGGGACCUUCGGGCCUCGCGCUAUAGGGUUGGCCGAUGGCUGAUUAGCUAGUGGGUGGGGUAAAGGCCUACCAAGGCGACGACCAGUAUCUGGUCUGAGAGAGGGACCAGCAAAAUGGGAACGAGAACACGGCCCGAACUCUUAGGGAAGGCGGCGGUGGGGAAUUUGGGACAUGGGCGGAAGGCCUGAUCAGGCAAGGCGGGGGGGGGGAGAAAGUCUUUCGGGUGGUAAGCACUUUUGUCCGGAAAGAAAUCCUUGGCCCUAAUACGGUCGGGGGAUGACGGUACCGGAAGAAUAAGCACCGGCUAACUACGUG